GAGACACAUUCUAGCCAAUCAGCAGCAGACCCUCCCUCCCAGACCCUCCCACCUCCUGGACAGCUCACUAAGAAUGCAGCUUCACAAUGAAUGUAAAAUGGAUGCUGUCCAGGAGGUGGGAGGGUCUGGGAGGGAGGGUCUGCUGCUGAUUGGCUGGAAUGUGUCUG